UACAGAGGUCCCGAGCGUUGUUCGGAUUCAUUGGGCGUAAAGGGUGCGUAGGCGGCGGGGCAAGUCUGAUGUGAAAUCCCGGGGCUCAACCCCGGAACUGCAUUGGAUACUGCCUUGCUCGAGUACUGGAGAGGGAACUGGAAUUUACGGUGUAGCAGUGAAAUGCGUAGAGAUCGGAAGGAAGGCCAGUGGCGAAGGCGAGUUCCUGGACAGUUACUGACGCUGAGGCACGAAGGCCAGGGGAGCAAACGGG
rnacentral:rRNA from 1 species